CGGCGGCACCGCGGGUGGAAGCAGGGGUCACGCAGCCGCGUCGGAGGCCCGGAUUUAAAAACAUGCGCAAGGUGCCCCCGGGCCUGCCCGAAAUAGCUUCGCUUUCCCCGGGCUUCCGCGCUUGUGGCGUUCUCGCCUUUCUCAGGGGAUGCGGCGGCUCUGCUGGACCCAUCCGUAGGGCCUCUCUCAAGGGGAGCCAAAAAGUUCACCUCACACCCUGAGAGAAGGGGCUUCGGGCUGUGUUGUCGAUGCUCCGAAAGAUAGUUUGAAAAACCACAGGUAGUAAGAUCAUGGGGAAAGCUCAGAGAAGUCGUUAGAAAUGUCAGAAAAUGUCUGAAGCGGGGCUAUAAAGAUGGUAAAAGGUCUAGAGGGGAUGUCGCAUGAGGAAUAGCUGAGGUCGCUUGGCUUGUUCAGCCUGGAGAAGAGACUGGGGGGAACCUCACAGCAGUCGGCAGCUACCAUGGGAAGUGGAGGGACGUUUCUUUCUGGUGACCAGUGAAGGGCCUGCGACAACGGCAUGAAGAUGUGGAGGUUUUGGUUGGAUAUUAGGAAAAGUUUCUUCGCCCUGAGGGUUGUUGAGAACGGGGACAGGCUCCUUAGGGAAGUGGUUAGGGUACUAAGUCUAACAUUAGUGUUUGGACAGCACUGUCGAAUCAGCAUAGUGUGAUUCUUGGUGUGGUCCUUUGCAGGGCCGGGAGUUUGACUUUGGUAAUCCUUUUAUAACCUUUUCAACUCAGGAUAUUCUAUGGUUCUAUGAAUUUAGGAAAGGAAGAAGUACUGCAGAAGGAAAUAGACAUAAAUAAGUGGAUAUAAAUAAGGGAAGCCUUGGGCCCCGGUGCAGACUUGAAUCCCAAAGUGAUGAAGAAUGUUGGGUCAUUCUGAGCUGGUCUCAAGUGACAUUUCUGAGGCAUUUUCUCUGGUUUGUUUUAGUAAGGAGGAAUGAUGUGGGAUUUGGAGAGUCGGUGGAAAAAUUAGGCUCAGCUGGUGUUUGUGGUAACUAAGAGUUACACAGGUGUCAGGACUUGUAGCAACUUGACUAAUCUGUUUUCCUUGUGGAAAGGAAUGAGAAAUGCCUGAGGUCAGUAUCAGAAAAGUGAUGACAUUCAAACUUCAUGAACACUAAGUUCAUAUUCACCAAACAAUCAGAGAGAAGGUUUCGUAUUUAAGGAUUUCAGGCUAAUGGAUAUGAAAACCUGAAGAUGUAGAGUGGAUGUUAUAAUAAAACUAAUUUAGAUAACUUGUAGACAUUUACAAGGACAAUUUAAUCUGGAGUGUUGUAAGCACUGAGUGCUUUGUGAAAUGCACCUAAGAGGCAUGAAGUUUUGAGCUUUAGCCAAAGUUUGAGUAGUGGUGGAACAGGAUUUCUAACUAAAAGUCUUGAGAGUUGAAGGACAUAAAAGUGUAGCUGGUAGGAAGCCAGGAGUGAGUAUUACUCUGUUGGGGGACAGGAUUAGUUAAUACGUGGAGCAGACAAUGGUUGUAGAUAGCAAGAACUGCAGUGAAGAUAAUUAGCAAUAUAAGGGGAAGAGUUUGUGUUAGUUUGGUACUUAUUUCUAAGUCUUCUGUCAUUUGGACUGAAUGAUUCAAACAGUGCUACAAAUUGCCAUCCUCUUAGUGAUGUAACUGAUGGCUCCUUGAAUGAGAGAAAUAGAAGGGAGAAUAAACACAUAAAUUCAAUAUUUACAUUGAAAUAUGCCUUACAUCAGUGAAUGAAUAAUUUUUGUUGGCUUUGAGUACUGUAAGAGUUGGUACUGGCUUUGAUUCUAGUAAGAACUUUUAGUCAGAUGUAAUAAGUGUAUAUUACUGUAUAUAUUCCUGCCUGUUGCAUGUGUGAGGGUUUCCUGGUUUUAAUUCCUUCUUUAUCCAUCAAAUCCUAGAUAUUCUUGUGACUGAGCAGCAUGUAGACAAGGUGCACUUAAUCAGUAGUCAGGACAGAAGUUACGGCCAUGUUUUUGCUCAUUGAGUUUUAAGAGAAUUUUAAAGAUAGUUUUUUUCUUCUGUAAAUUACCAUGCUUGAACUGAUACUAUCUUUUCCAUUUGUGAACAUGGAUGUACAAUUAGGAAAGCAAUUCUGCCAUCUUUUGUAGCUGAAAAGAAGCUUCAGCAUUCAGGUCUAGCAGAAAAUUCUACUCAAGCAUGUAUGGUUCUCCAAAUCUGUUCUAACUCCUGUCCAUCCAUUGUCAAAAAAGAAGUAAGGUGUGUAUUUUCUGAUACAGUAUGUAACUUCUGCAUCUUGAUGUGAAAUAUAUUUAUUGUCACAUUAUUUUUGAUUGAAGAUGUGCAUCAUUUGGGCAACUUUUGUUUUCAUUUGAAUGUAAGUUAAUAGUCUCAAAAAAAGCUAAAGUGUUAUGUGAUAGGCCCAUCAAAACUCCAUAAGCUUUCUGAGUUCAAAACCCACAUUUGCCACUUCUUAACUGAAUGAAAUUGAAAUACUGAAACCCACUUCUUACCUGAAUCACUGCGAGAAUCCUUUCAGCCUCAUAAAACAAUGGGCUAGGCUAAAAUUCCCCACAGACUUCAUUAUUCUGUGCAGGCUUGGAGUUGUUUUAUUGUAUCUACAGAUAUAAGCAUAAUUCACUUUUUUGGUAUUUUGUCCUGCUGCUUUGUUAUUUUUUUCAUGAUCUAGAUAAAGUCUGAACUAUGUGGAAAACUCCAGUGAAUCUUCAUUCUGUGCUUCUGGUGAAGGUUAUAACAUUCAGUUAUCUAACAGAUAAGUACUCAAGACUGCCAUUUUUUUGAUAAAUUUGAAAUUUGCUACCAGGGGUCAUUAAGGUUAAGUAUUUAGACUUAAUUGUUACUAUAAUGAACAGAAAAUUUGAUAUACACAGCAAUUUAUAAUGAAAACUGUUUAAAAUAAAGAUAGAUACUGAGUAGGCAUAUUAUUAGGCAUAUUUAUUAUUUAUGUAGAAAAAAGUUGUCCUUUAGACAUAUUUACCUUCCUAACAAUGGCAAUUGUUAGGAAAAAGCUUAAAUAGAGUGGUGCAAAUUGCAUUCCCUGAAUACAAUCCAGUUGGCACAAGGCUAACAAAUAAUGUUUCAUUUGCACUACUUAUAUUUUUUACAUAGCUCUAAUUAAGGAAAAUCAUUUAUAUAUCAUUGCAGUUAAGGUACUUUGAUUUGAAUCAGUUUCAACUCUAUGUUCUGUUGUUGAAUAAGCAUUUUAAAAUAUUUUUAAAUGCUACAGAAAACAUAUAAAACAAGUAUUAAAGUAUUUUUAUUCAACAUUUAUUUUUAGACAUAUGUGCCAUUUUCUUAAUAAAGCUUAAAUUUGUAAUAUUUUGGUGGAGCUUAAGCUGAUACUGUUUAAAAUAUUUUUUUUAUGUUCUGCAAUACAAACUAAUUUAUAUAAAGUUGUGACAGUAUAAUGUUUUGUAGGAUUCCUUAAGGCUUAGAUUAUUCCUACCAAAUAAAGAUCAUUUUUACUUUGUUGCUUAGCUGAGGAAAGUCAAUGCAAGGAUAAGGAUAUUAGAGACUUACACUUUAGCUCUAUUUGUAAUUAGUUAUUUCACACUGUGGCGCAUACAUUUGUACCAUUGACACAGCUUUUCAGAAAAUAUUUAUAACUCACUGUCAUUUUGAAGCAAUCCAUUUUCUGAUUCUACUUUUUUUUUCUCAUUCAUUUUGCAUAUAACUUUUUUUUCUGCAAUUUCCACAAUCUUAUUAGAUUUUCUUUCCCCAGACAAAUUUCAUUCUAUACUUUUGUUUCAUGUUUAAUUGCAAAGUAUUUUAUAAUUAUAGUUGAUUUCCUAUGUCUAUUUUAUAUACUCUCUCAUAUUGAUAACUUUCUGACAAUUAACUUUCAUCCACUGAGCUCUUUCUCUGUGUUUUUAAUUUUUCUUUUGAUCGCCUUCUUUCUUUUCCUUUAUUUUUGAUAGAUUUUCUUUCCUGGCAGACUUUGACUGGUUGGUUUUACAGGUGUAGAACAAAAAAGAUGUGCUACACAAGUAGCAGCUUCAGUUUUCAGAUGUUGUCAUCUUCUCUCUACAACAGAUACCACUUCUGGCAGUUGGAUACGAUGUUCAAAUGUACCUUCUGUGGCUCUCAUCUGUAUCCCAGCACUCAUCCUGCCAUUUCCAAAGAUUUAUGUUUUCCUGACCUAUCUCAUCUCAUAUUCUGUGGGAAGCAAUGACCAUUGCUUUCAGGGCUCUCAGUUCAUCCCAAGAGGAGAGAAGGCACAAGAAUUGCCAAUACCUCAAUCAAGCAGGUGACAGAAUGGAGGAGGAAGAUGAAUCACUUGGAUUCUGCUGCCAUGGACUGACUUAUCUCUGACUUAACUGUGAAACAACUGAUGUGUCCUCCCAGAGAUGUAGCCAGCAGCCCCCGCUCCAGAGUACAUCCUAACAAGAGACCUCUGCCUCCUCCACCUCCUGUGAGCAUCAGCUUUGUCAAUGUGCAUUGCAGCGCUCCCCCAGCUGAUUAUUGGUAAAAUGAUUGAGGAUGCAUCAAUCCCCAAAGAAUUUGCUAAUGCUGUUCAUCAUGUUGCAAAUUAUUUUUAGCCUCUCUUAGUUACUUCUGGGCAGACCAAUCACAAAAGCAGAACUGCAAAACUUACUGUUCUACUUGUGCUUAUUUAUUGUUUCUCAUCUGCUUGGCUCUGUGUAAACAGCACAUGCUGAUGAACAUAUGGCUCAGGCUGAGUGAGACUAGAAGGUGGAAGAACACCCCAGCAGAGCAAAAUGCUUCCUCCUCUGGAAUCAUCACAGAAUCAUAGAAUGGUUUGGGUUAGAAGGGACCUUAAAUAUCUACUUCCAACUCUCCCGCCACCUUCCAAUAGACCAGGUUGCUCCCAACCCUAUCCAGUCCUGGACACUUUCAGAGAUGGGACAUCAGCAGGUUCUCUGGGCAACUUGUUCCAGUGCCUUACCACCCUCACAGUAGAGAAUUUCUUCCUGAUAUCUCACCUAAACCUACUUUCAGUUUAAACCUGUUGUUCCUUCUCCUGUCACUCCAUUGUCCUUGUAAGAAGUGCCUAUCCAGUUUUCUUGCAUAGUCCCUGUAGGUACUGAAAGGCCACAACCAUCUCUCUGGAUCUCAUUGAGCCUCCAAAUAAAAAAAUUACUGACUAAUUUACUAAUAGUCAAAAAAACUUUUAUUUCAAAUUACUCAUUUUUGUUUGUUUGUUUUGUUAGAAAGGAAAAGUUAACAAGUAGUAUAGAUGAUAGACUAGGGCUCCUACCUGGCAGCAUUUUUUAGCCUAUGCACAGGCUGGCUGACUGGCUCCAAAAUUAUAUUUUGGUAUCUUCCAUCCUGUACAAGCUUCCCCUGGUACCCAGCAGUCCAAAUUGUUCUAUCUUGUAUUGGCUUGGAAGUUGUGCCCUGACACCCCUCUGCUCCAGUCAUGCUAUGUACAAGGCAUCAGUGAACACCCAUCCUGGGACCCUGACUAAAAUACAAAACUCACACUGAUAUUUUUUCAGCCAGAUCAGCAGGCUAGAGAUAUUAACUUCAUUACAAGACCACUAGGUGGCAAUUUAGUAGUCCUGUUUUAGAUGUUUAAUAUAUUUGAUUUCUGUGUUGCUUUAGAUACAAACUUGAUGAAUGGCAAAUUGAACAGCAUUCUGGAAAACCUGUACUGGUUGUUCCUGCCAAAUAUAUCAAAGUCUUUCUGCUUAUCACACCUCUCCCAGAGAUUCAUUAAAUUCAGUGAAUGCCUCUGAGCACACAGUGAACACCUCUGGCCAGGUGGCAGGAAAGUUAAUUGAUUAUCAAGAAAACAUAGGAGUUCUUCUAGAUCUUUAAUAAGGAGUCAUAGCUAUAUGUGCCAUGAGAUUGACCCUGUCCACAGCCACAGAUAUAGGACCGUGACAUAACUAUCUGCAUACACUGAAGGUGAAUUUCUGUGGCAGCACACCAGAGUCAACAGGAGAGCUACUGUGGCCUUUGUAUCUGCCAAAUGUGUUUGCAUUGAUCCCACAAUCCCCUCGCCUCAAUAACUGUAGAUCAGAAAGGUGGUAUAAACCAUUUUUCUAGAAAUUCAAAGUUCUUUUCCUAAUAAACAACUUUUGUAUGGUUGUCUGAGAGAACUAGAUUGCUGCAAAAAGCAUUUCAGGUCUGGAAGAUUUAAGACUGCCAUCUAAACAGAGAGAGGACGUGAACAACUCAAGUAUAUGUGUAUGUGAGCUUGUACAGUUAUUUUCAUUGCAAAUACUAUAUAAUUGAUAGAAAUUGAUGUGAUACCACAAGGUAUAUACCAAAACACAUACAAAAGGUACAUACAAGAGAAGUGUUUUGAUUGCAUACCUUUUCACUUUGGGAUAAUUUGGGAUUUUUUGUCCCUUUGUUCAGUGUUGAUAGUCUUUAUGAAUUUUACUUAGCAGUGAAGUGAUGCUGAAAUAACUGAUCCCAGAAUUUUUGUGAAAACUAUUUAUAGUAGCGCCCACGGUUAAUGAUUCAAUAAGGAGGCUUACAAAGUAUUUUUUUCCCAGUGAUCUCAAGUGACACAUACUAAAAGUGGUGAGCUUUUGAUGCACUGACAUUUGUUCCUGGGG